rnacentral:rRNA from 1 species
UACAGAGGUCUCAAGCGUUGUUCGGAUUCAUUGGGCGUAAAGGGUGUGUAGGUGGCGCCGUAAGUCGGGUGUGAAAUUUCGGAGCUUAACUCCGAAACUGCAUUCGAUACUGCGGUGCUUGAGGACUGGAGAGGAGACUGGAAUUCACGGUGUAGCAGUGAAAUGCGUAGAUAUCGUGAGGAAGACCGGUGGCGAAGGCGGAUCUCUGGACAGUUCCUGACGCUGAGGCGCGAAGGCCAGGGGAGCAAACGGG